UACGUAGGGUGCAAGCGUUAAUCGGAAUUACUGGGCGUAAAGCGUGCGCAGGCGGUCUUGCAAGACAGAUGUGAAAUCCCCGGGCUUAACCUGGGAACUGCAUUUGUGACUGUAAGGCUGGAGUGCGGCAGAGGGGGAUGGAAUUCCGCGUGUAGCAGUGAAAUGCGUAGAUAUGCGGAGGAACACCGAUGGCGAAGGCAAUCCCCUGGGCCUGCACUGACGCUCAUGCACGAAAGCGUGGGGAGCAAACAGG
rnacentral:rRNA from 1 species